GACGAACCGUGCGAACGUUGUUCGGAAUCACUGGGCUUAAAGGGCGCGUAGGCGGCCGCGUUAGUCUCGGGUGAAAUCUUUCGGCUCAACCGGAAACGUGCCUGGGAUACUGCGCGGCUGGAGGGAGGUAGGGGCGGACGGAACUUCCGGUGGAGCGGUGAAAUGCGUUGAUAUCGGAAGGAACGCCGGUGGCGAAAGCGGUCCGCUGGACCUCUACUGACGCUGAGGCGCGAAAGCCAGGGGAGCAAACGGG
rnacentral:rRNA from 1 species